ensembl:lncRNA
UUUUUUUUUUUUGUAGAGAUGGGGACUUUCUAUGUUGACCAGGCUGGUUUAAAACUGCUGGCAUCAAGUGAUCCUCCCACCUUCACUUCCCAAAAUAUUGGGAUUACCGGUGUGAGCCACCACAUUCACUUGUAUCUCAUAUAAGGGCACUAAUCCCAUCAUGAAGGGCUCACCUUAUGACCUCAUCUAACCUUAAUCACCUUCCAAAGGCCCCAGCUUCAACUACAAUAACACUAGGGUUAGAGCUUCAACAUAUAGAUUUUUUUGGGGAAAAAUAUUCAGUCCACAACAUUGUCAAUAUCGAAACAAUCUAGUGCAUUAGCAACCUGUGAGAGUUUUCUUUCCUCAGAGGGAAAUGCUUGUCACCACCCACCACCUGAGAGGAUGUCCACAAGGCACAGGUCCUAAGGCUUAAAGCAAUCUAUUAUAAAGAGGGUCCUGUUGAAAGGCAAACACUUUCAAACUCAGACAUUGUUCUCCAAGUGUGGUUUCAGAAGUCCCACCUGAAUCCAUGUGCUACACGAAUAUAAAUAUAAAUAAUUGAUAUUCUUGUAGACAUUAGAAGUGCCAAAGAUGUGAAGGCUUACAGGCAUUCAGUGAGGAAAGCUUCUAAGAUAACAAGCCCUUCCUUUGGCAUGUAUUAUUUAUCACACUAUUCAUUUUGAGAAAAAAAAAUGAUGACCCUACUUUCCUCAGGAAUAAAAAGGAACAUAUCAUUAAUUUAUAGUACACAUUUCAGAAAUCAAAUGUGUACGCACCAUGGAGAAGAGCUGGAGGCAGAGAGGGCAGGAAAGUAGGAGGCCUCUCAUGUUGCAUUGUUUCUGCACUGAACUGACCAUGACACGCCCCAGACCACAAUCAGUGCCUACAAUCUGACAGGCAACCAGUUGAAAGAUGGGCCUUUGGUUUCCUGGCAACAUGAACAAUGUCCCUUUGAGAUGGUCACAGUGAACACCCCACUCCUGGUCUUACCUGUUUGUGGCUUCCCCUCACCUUGAAUGUAGGCUGGAUCUAGUGACUUGCCUUUAACACAUAGCUCAUGGCAACAGUAAAGGAUGGCCCUUCUGAGAAUGUAUUUACCUUCCCUCUGGGUUGCUCUUCCUCUUUCUCUCUGGCUUGCUCACUCCAAGGAAGUCACCUGCCAAAUAGGGAGCCAUCCUAUGGAGAAGUCCACAGGCAGGGAAAUGAGGAAGACCUCCAGUCAGCAGCCAGUGAGAAAAUGAGGCCCUUAGUCCAAUCACUCUCCAUGAACUGAAUCUUGCUAAAAAUAGUACAAGUGAACCAAGAAGCAUAUAUUAGUCUGUUCUCACACUGUGAAUAAAGACAUACCUGAGACUGGGUAAUUUAUAAAGGAAAGAGGUUUAAUUGACUCAGAGUUCCACGUGGCUGGGGAGGCCUCACAAUCACGGCAGAAGGCAGAGGAAGAGCAAAGUUACAUCUUACAUGGCAGCAGGCAAGAGGGCAUGUGCAGGGAAAGUCCCCCUCAUAAAGCCGUCAGAUCUCAUGACACUUAUUUACUUUUGUGAGAAUAGCAUGGGAAAGAACUGCCCCCAUGAUUCAAUUACCUCCCAUCAGGUCCCUCCCAUGACAUAUGGGAAUUAUGGGAGCUACAAUUCAAGAAGAGAUUUUGGUGGGGAUGCAGAUUAAUCAUGUCAAAGCCCACACGCCCUAUGUGAGCCUUCUGAAAAGACCAUAAUCUUGGCUAAUGUCCUGACUGC